UACGGGGGGGGCAAGCGUUGUUCGGAAUUACUGGGCGAAAGGGCUCGUAGGCGGCCAACUAAGUCGGACGUGAAAUCCCUCGGCUUAACCGGGGAACUGCGUCCGAUACUGGAUGGCUUGAGUAUGGGAGAGGGAUGCGGAAUUCCAGGUGUAGCGGUGAAAUGCGUAGAUAUCUGGAGGAACACCGGUGGCGAAGGCGGCAUCCUGGACCAUUACUGACGCUGAGGAGCGAAAGCCAGGGGAGCAAACGGG
rnacentral:rRNA from 1 species